rnacentral:rRNA from 1 species
AUGAAAAACUUCUUCGACGCCAAGAUGGAUGCUCAAAUGGAAGAGCUCAAAGCCCUCAUCAAGUGCUACAAGAGAUCUUCCUCAUCUUCAAGAAGACGCUCAAGUGCACAUGCUUCCGAGCUACCAUCUCCGACAAGGUCACAUCAGCAUCGACACAAUCAUCGACGAGUACAUGAAGGUCAAGAGCUCAACACCAACAACCGCUCAACGACUUCACCAUCUCCCUUGGCAUCUUCGCCAAGCGACUUCAAGGCAUCUUCACCCAUGGACAUACGUCAUCUUCGCCAACAAGCACCCCAAGACUACGCUCAAGAGAAGCUCCCCAAGCUCAAGUCUGUGACUUCCACGAGCUACUACUACCUCGACACCGACCACAAGGUUCCUUUCUAUGGGACUCAAGAACCUGAGGAGUAUCUCGAGUGGGAGCGCCUGAUGGACAACUACCUCAAGCUACAUCAAGUUCGUCCGAAGAUCAAGUGA